rnacentral:lncRNA from 1 species
CAAACUCAUGCUAAAUAAUCUAAACAGUGAAAAAGCAGCUCCAUCACUAUAAUACAUCUUGAUUAAUGUAAACAGUGAAACAGAAGGUAUUGUUUGCGACAAAUUCAAGAAUGGAAUCAUACGGGAGCAAGAGGUUCAGCACUGUAUUUUCCAGCCUGUUUUAUCUUGAAUUCUUGAUGGUCCGGACCAAGUAUGUAGGCCUGGUGUUGACAACUAUUAUGACUUGUAAUGUUAUCAUUGCCAGGAAUAUAGGUGAUUCCUGCUAAUACAUAUAAUCAGACUGCUUGCUAUACAUAUGAAUAGACUGUCCAUCUAGUUGAAAUCAGGGAUUAGAUUCACUCCGGACCUAUAGGUAUUUCGUGGCCUGGCACAUAACCUGUCAAUAUUCGCGCUCCGGCCUCCAGGUUGGUCCUAAAAGCCUCCAUUGGAAUACUACUGAAUCUUGCUGCUUCAACCCCAAAAAUUCAGACAUAUACUGUCUAUAAUCAUAGGCACCAAAAUUGACUUCUAUAGCUUCAACUUCAAUGAAAUGAUCCCAUCUCCCACAUUAUGAUUGAGGACUGUUUUUCUUUUAAAAAAUACAAAUAAAGAGACAUUGAACUGUGUCGUGCAAAACUCGUGAGAUUUGAAAUUCUCACAACCUCAAAAGUUUUGAGUACCCCUUGCUGAAACUAGAAAAAAAAUUUGUGUUGAAAAUAGAAGUUGUUGGUAGAACUACUCCGGUAAGAGGUAGAAGGGUAUCUGAAAAGGAGAGUACCAGUUUUGCAAAAAAAAAAAAAAGAAAGAAACGAAGAGUACCAAAACAGAGGUUAAACUCGACGCCUAGACCUCUCUGGACUUGUUGCCAGGCAGUGGACUCGGCCGUUCCCUUCUUCGGUGGCAGUGGUAGAGCGUGAACCAAAAAUAUAGAGGGGGCUAAUUUACCAACUUCAAAUCAAUAUAUAUAAAAGUUUCAUAGAAAUCUAAAUCAAUAUAUAUAAAAGUUUCAUAGAAAUCUCUUAAUAGGAUUCAUGUACCAAAAGAAGGCUGGCCAGUGUGGCCACGUCGCUUGCUGUUCCCGGUCGUCGGAUUGGCCUGGCGGACGGCCCAGAUCCUAUGAGUUCCGGUCAUUUUGCAAAAAGCUCUCGAACUUUAGAUAAAUCAACCAGCAGUCCAGCCUCUUCCCUUAGGUAAUUUUGCAAAAAACUAACAACUUUUAUCAAAAUCAACCCGCGGUCCAACCUUCCCGAUUUAGAGAAUUUGCAGAGAAAAUCUUAAAUUUUCAGAAAAUCAACAUCCUGGUCGUCUCUCAGAAAUGAUUUAGAAAAACCCACGGAUUUUAAUUAAAUUAAACCUCAACUCAUUCCAUCUGUUGCUUCUACACGAGCAACAUUACAAUUUGAACACCAAAACACGUUGAAAUCAAAAGUUGUUCAAUAUAGAAUUUGAUCAAAAAUCCAAAACUACAACUUCAUUAUAAAGCAAAUUUUAAAAUUCAAAACGCUUUCACAAUUCGUUUGCACAAAUGCUUGCAUGCGAUCCGUCGUACCUAUAAUAUGGACACCAAAACGUCUUCAAAUUAAAAAGUGUUCAAUACAAAAGUUGCUUAGGAUUUCAAAAUCUACAGCUUUAUUAUAUAGUAAUUUAAAAGUGUUCAAUACAAAAGUUGCUCAGGAUUUCAAAAUAUACAGCUUUACAAUUUUAAAUUCAAAAUGCUUUUAGAAUUUAUCCACAUAAAUGUUUACGUAAGAUCCAUUCUACAUCCAUUCUACCUACGAUUCAGACACCAAAACAUCUUUACGUCAAAAAAUUUUAAAUACAAAAAUUGCUCAAAAUUUCAGAACCAAAAGCUUUUGCUACACAACAAAUUUUUAAAAUAAAUGACAACCAAAAAUACUAUAACCAAAAACACUAAAUAUAACAAAAAAAGAUAGUUCCAUUCCCACGCAAAAAUAAUAUCCUACUUAAAUAGUAGUGUCACGAUAAUAGAGAGUCCAAAAUAUACAUCAACUACAACAACAGGCUGCAUAUCAUGAUUCCUAAGUAUACAAUAAUUGCUACUCUGUGCAUGAACUAAAAUCUGUAUCAACUACAGUUUGACGACACGAAAUACGGGUCCUACGCGGCAAAGCCUCGCGCGUUUCUAGUAAGUUUUGAUUGAUGAACUACUGGUAACUAUGUUACACUUAAGAAACUACAAGUGACCGUAGCCUAUUGUCAGUAGAGACCUAUCACCGUAUCAUACUAUCAUAUUAGUAUAUAUAUACACACAAAAAGAUAAGUAAUCAGUAUAACUAGCACUUGUUAAAAGUUCUCCCUUCUUUUCUUCAUAGCUAUAGUCUCCUGCUAUUUUUCCUUCCAUGUGUACUACCAAACUAUUGGUAAGAAAUUCGUCUUUCAUCUUGUUUCAUAAUCUUGUCUUAGUGAUCUUCAAGAUAGAAAAAGCACGCUAGCGCUAGCCAUUGAAACUAGAAGAGUAAUAAGAAGCAACCGAAGCAAUCUAUCAAUCAUGUUCAAAUUCAUAUAACGUCCAAUGGCAACAAGGCGUCAGCAUAGCUCAGCUAUGGUUGCAAUAUUUUUCAGCUCUUCACUUGCGUGUUGAGCGGACUACGACUUUGUAUAUUGAAUGGAUUGCAGAGCUCUCUGCUCUUCUCUUCAAAAAGUUUGGUGGGGGGGAGGGGGGGGGGGGAUCUCUAUGGCCCUACAAUGCUCCGCCAGUGUUCGGUGGUAGCAUGGAGUUUCUAAGUUAAAAAAUAUCUUUUAUUUCUCUAUCUAGCCAUCCCACGUACUCUCUAUUUUCUAUUUUAUAUUGGUACAAUAUUAAGAAGGACCUUGCUUAUUAUUUUAUUCAUUCCGAUUUCUCAAUUUCGAUAUUAUCAUAUACAUACAUCAUUCCUUUUUCAAGAAAAAUUACUUUACACGGAAAUCGAACAACCAUCUAUACUAUUUUCAAAAUAUCAACCGAUUUCUCAAUUUCGAUAUUAUCAUAUACAUACAUCAUUCCUUUUUCAAGAAAAAAUUACUUUGCACGGAAAUCGAACAACCAUCUAUACUCUUUUCAAAAUAUCAACUAACUAUUAAAAAGAAUACUUUAAUUUUAAAAAUAGGACUAUAAAAAAAGAACGCAGGAUUAUCACAUAUCUUUGCCAAACCAGAGUUCCAAGGAACCUUAAAAAAAGAGUUGGGAAAAUUUACAACCGGAUAUCAUUAAAAAAAUACUUUUUACUCUGACCAUUAAAAAUGAGGAUCUUCGCCAGAAGAUAUUAUAGAACUAUGUAUAUUUGCUGAGAGACUGACAUUAUAACCUAUGAAAUAAUAUUUUCACUUUGAUCACACAAAACUUAAAUCUGGACAACUCCCCCUCCCUCCGGCCAGCAUAUCCACGAGACCACAACAUGCACCCGUGCCUUGUGGCUGCGGGCCCUUGCAGCAGAGGCACCACGCAACGCAAGGCCCUGCCACGCACAGCACAAAACGGAAGAGAGAGCGGAGGAGAGAGACAGAGAGAACGAGAGAGAAAUCGGAAGAGAGAGAAAAAGGAGAGACAGCAGCACCGGUGGUACUCAUCAGCGGCAGCAGCUACCUCGGAGCGCAGCCCCCACCAGCCACCGCUCCUCACGUUCGCAUCACAGCCGCGUCUCCCCGCGCGCUGGGCUCUACUGGUGCUCGCUCGCUGAGUCGCUGGCCGCGGCCGGCGUCGGAGCCAGUUCAGCUCCAGCCGAUUCGACCGUGGGAGCUGUUGUUGCUGCCGCCAGGAGGGGUCUCCGCUGGGGCGCGGUGCUACUCGCCGGUACUCUCCGGCGCUCCGGCAAGAGCCGCAGCUGGGCGUGGUCGCCACCAGGAGGCAGGAGAGGCCGCACACUGGGAAGCGAAGCGCGCCGCCGCCUGGAGUUCGCGGCAGGAUAAGGCGUGCAAACGGUUUCGCGGGAGGAAUCGGCGUGCGAUGGGAUAAGGUAAGCAGGGGCAGACCUGUCAUUCCAUCUCCAAAUAAACUGAAUAAAAUAGUGAGUACAAUGUCUCCCACCAAACACAGAAAUUUCAGAAUUUAGGAUCAUAUACGAGCGCCUUUCAGGAUUUGGACCCAAUUCGCCUGCCUUUUAGAAUUUGACCCCAUCUCACGAAUUAUUUGAGUUUAGGUGUUUUCCAUCUAUUUUCUCAAUUUUGCCUGUUUUUCCUUUUCUUUUUCUUUCCCAGCCCACCUGAAAUUCCAAUCUUGCCCCUGCCCCUCACGAUAAAAAAAAUUCAGAUAUCACAGGUGUUGGGAGCUUCCCCAAGUCUUUUUCUAAAGAUAACAUGGUGUAACAGCGAUAGUCUACAAUCUAUUCAUAGCAUUUUCGAGGCACAUCAACAGAGCUACCAUCAUCCAUCUUUGCUAAACUGAGAAAUCUGGACCGACAAUCUAAACGCAGCAUCCGGAUCAAUCCUACCGCAAUCCUACCGCGUACCAAGAAAAAAACAAGUACAUGGAUCAGUAAGUUCAAUCCUAAUCGAUAUUUUUCUUCACGGAUGCGCCCUUCCCCCCAAAUCGAACCAAACUGAAACUAUACAGAACCCGGCCAGGAGAGUGAUUAGGGAGGCCUUACCCGGGAGGCACAUCAGUGGGAUCCAUGGUGUCCGUUCAGCCUGUUCCGACCGCCCGCAUCUGCUGGUUGCGUUCCUCCCCAGGAACCUAGCGGCGGCGCAAGAACGAGCGAGAGGAGAGAGGGACGAAAGAGAGGAGCUGCCUGGUGGCCGGUGGCCUGAUUCAAUCGUGAGGAGAUAAGGUGCCAAGCGGCAGGGGCAAGGUUGGAAUUUCAGGUGGGCUGGGAAAGAAAAAGAAAUGGGAAAAGAGGCAAAAUUGAGAAAAUAGAUGGAAAACACCUAAAAUGAAACAAUACGUGAGACGGGGGUCAAAUUCUGAAAGGCACGUGAAUUGGGUCCAAAAUCCUGAAAGGUGCUCGUAUUUGAUCCCAGAUUCUGAAAUUUCUCCACCAAAUAUACAUGAUUUUAU